CACAGUUUUGAUUGUUAUAGCAGCAACAUCAUUUUCAAAUAUUUAUGAAAAAGCUGGGCAAUAAACAAUUUUGUCUUUCUCCCCUAUAUGAAAAGAUUGUUGGGGUGGAAAUAUAGUAUUAACAAUAUUUCUGUUGGUGAGCUUAUACUCUCUUUCUAACACAGAAAUAUAGUUAUAAACAUGUUUAGGCAUAAACCAAGGGACAAAAGCAAUAAUUUU
rnacentral:lncRNA from 1 species